UACGUAGGGGGGCAAGCGUUGUCCGGAUUUACUGGGCGUAAAGAGCGUGUAGGCGGCCACGCAGGUCCGUUGUGAAAACUGGAGGCUCAACCUCCAGCUGUCGACGGAAACCGUGUGGCUAGAGUCCGGAAGAGGAGAGUGGAAUUCCGUGGUGUAGCGGUGAAAUGCGCAGAUAUCAGGAAGAACACCAAUGGCGAAGGCAGCUCUCUGGGACGGUACUGACGCUGAGACGCGAAAGCGUGGGGAGCGAACAGG
rnacentral:rRNA from 1 species